GGUGUACCAUAAUUAUACGUUUUAAGAUUACAACUUUAUAUAAAAUUAUAUAUAUAUUUCCCAAUUUAUUUUAAAAACUAAUGUUUAAUGUAAAGCCUGAGCAAUAACAUCAAUGUUUUUCAAAACAUCAGAUAUGAUGGGAUGCAUGUAUGUUAAAUUUCAAAACUUUGACAUCAUGUUGGCCCCAAAAUAUUUAAAGGCGAAGGUUGUUGGACCAUAUAACACGAUCUUGACUAAACCUCCUUCACCGUCGCCAUAUGUUAAGGUGAAUGCCGGGCUUGGGAUGGAAAUCUUGACACACAAAUAAAAGGGUGAUACCCGAAAACAACUUGUAAGCAGUUCACGAUGGAGUUUAUGUUAAAAAUUUUUGAGGAGUUAUCAUAAAAUUUUCCUUUUUUCGAUUUAUUUUAUUUCUCCAUACCUCAAAUCACGUCAAAUUAGAGCCCAUCC
rnacentral:lncRNA from 1 species